CCUACGGGUGGCAGCAGUGGGGAAUAUUGGACAAUGGGGGGAACCCUGAUCCAGCCAUGCCGCGUGUGUGAAGAAGGCCCUCGGGUUGUAAAGCACUUUCAGUGAGGAAGAACGCCUGGUGGUUAAUACCCAUCAGGAAAGACAUCACUCACAGAAGAAGCACCGGCUAACUCCGUGCCAGCAGCCGCGGUAAUACGGAGGGUGCGAGCGUUAAUCGGAAUUACUGGGCGUAAAGCGCGCGUAGGUGGCUUGAUAAGCCGGUUGUGAAAGCCCCGGGCUCAACCUGGGAACGGCAUCCGGAACUGUCAAGCUAGAGUGCAGGAGAGGAAGGUAGAAGUCCCGGUGUAGCGGUGAAAUGCGUAGAGAUCGGGAGGAAUACCAGUGGCGAAGGCGGCCUUCUGGACUGACACUGACGCUGAGGUGCGAAAGCGUGGGUAGCAAACAGGAUUAGAUACCCCAGUAGUC
rnacentral:rRNA from 1 species